GGCAUUCUGCAGUUCACUGGCAAGUCUGUCUUUAAAAUACCGUCCACAUCUGUGCGCGUGUAGAACCUGCAUGUAUGUCAGCCACUCGGACAAUCGUUAACUGAUCUAAACUAACUGGAAACAGUCAGAAACAAGUGUAGCAGCAGCAAGAGAAACCUCAUUAUUCAUCAGUAUAAAAAUAAACAGUGGGCAGUGUUGGGAUUAGUCACAGCUGAACAGGGGGAAGACACUGUCUACUUGUUCUGCAUUUAGCACCCCGUCUAGGGUCCCCACUGCUCUGAGAGGAGGACAGUAAUGCAGAGAGCACAAAAUCCCAUGGAAGAACAGCCUCUAGAUUUAUCAGCCCCAGUAUCACUGUCUUUUCGGGAGUGUCUGAGCCGGAAGGGAGCCCAGUGUCACCUGAAUGAAAAGAAGGAGGAUGCUGUGGAGAAGUGAACCUGGGGCCACUUACACCUCACUCCCUGGGACUCUCAGCCUGCGUUCCGAUCCAGCAUGUAGCAGGAAAUCCCACUGAUCUUCCUCAUCCUGGGGGAGGAGAGACCCCUGCCCUUUCUCAGCUAGCUGUGGUGGUUCCUGGGACUCUGGGCCUGAGGGCAUAGGUUACAUACCAGUGACAGUUACACAACCACCACUAGGCCUCAGCAACCUGGGCAUACCGGCCUGCCUAUAAAACAAGGAAGGCAAGAAGGUGAACCCCUGGCAGCUGCACGGUGUGAGCCCAAAGCUACCUGAACACCAGUGACGGGUGGGGCUGUUGAGCAGAGGGGCACGGUACCUAGAUUGGAGACCUUGAACUGUAUAUCUGGAGCCCUGUCAAAGCACAGGAGCAUGGGCAUCCCCUGGCCCAUGAGAAAUACAAGAGAAAUACAACUAACUACAGAUCAAGCCAUGAAACUCCCCUCACCCACGUCUGCUUCCAGCCAGUUCCCAGGGUAAGCAGCUAAUCCUUGGCCAAGACAGAGAGAGGGUGCUGAAAAUCAGGACAAGGCAGCCUCUCCUCAGGAUGCAGAGAAAUGCUCCCCUGACUGGCCUUGACCAUGCCAGGUGCUCAGCACCCUAUGCGCCCACUCACACCAACGGGAGCUGUCAGUGCUCAGUACCUUGAGGGAGGCACCCAGUACCCCACAGGCUGGGCCCUACAGAGAGGGACUGUACAUUCUGAACUCCAUCCUGAGUCCCAACAGCCGGACUAACUCCCCUCAGCCUGUUCCCUUUGCAGUGCAGAGCAGGGAGGAAACAGUCUCCAUUUUGGUCACAAUGUGACUGAAUCUCAUUAUGGUUCUACCUGGAUUCUCCAAAUCUUCCUUGUCUGUAGCCCCCUGUGCUAGCGCUAACCAGGCUCACGCCCUCUACAGGUAUCUGUAAUCUGGCUUCUCACACGUGGUUUGUCCCACACAGUUUCCCAUAGGCUGAAUCAGGAUGCCCUACAACAUGGAGGGGCCUUCAUAAAAAUGGCCUUCACCCUAUAUGUGACCUCGGAGAGGAAAGUGGUCCUCGAAAUGGUUGGUCAGGAAUAUGGGGAAGCCAAAAAGAUGUCCUAAAUCCCUUCUCUACUACCCAGCACGCCCAGAGAAAACCCACCUAUCACAGAAAGAAAGCCCAGACAUCUAGGCCCAGAUCCUCAAAGCCGAAAUCAGUGAAAAUUAGGAUCUGGGCCUUUGUGUUUAUAGAGUAAAGAACCCUGGGUUCACAUUCUUCCUGAGCCAUGUGGGACCUUGGCCAGGUCAGCUGAACUCUUUCCAUGUUGGUCACUCCAGCUGGUGGGUAAAAACAGGGAACAUCACUGGAAAUUAGCUGCCGCCUCUGCAAUGCUGCUCAAUUUUGGAAGCCUGGAUGGGAAGACGCUCUGCUGGAUGUUUAGAGUAAGCAUCCCGUUGCUCUUGGCAUGCAGUCUCAUUGACUCAGGGCCAAGGAGGAUGGAAACGCCAGGCAUCCUGCCUCCUAAUGCCAGUGCUUCCAGAACGUUGGUUCACUUUGGGACACCUGCUAUUCAGGAGGUCCAAGCGGCCCUGCGCUCCAAUUGGCUGGCAGACUCUAGCAGUGCUGCUAUUCCAUGGCAACAUCUCCACUCAGAAUAUUCCUGCCUUGUGACUGUGGGGCCAGCCAAGAGGAACGCCCCCAAGCAGUGCAUCCAACCAAUGGUCAAAGCCAAAAAGACACAGGGGAAGGUGCUAAACAAUUAAUCAUCUGCGCUAAAAAUAUCUGAGUCCCAAAG